GUGGUGGCUCAGUGGUAGAGUACUUGCCUAGCAUGUGUGAGGCACUGGGUUCCAUCCCCAGCACCACA
rnacentral:tRNA from 1 species